AGAGUUUGAUCAUGGCUCAGAUUGAACGCUGGCGGCAGGCCUAACACAUGCAAGUCGAGCGGAUGACGGGAGCUUGCUCCUUGAUUCAGCGGCGGACGGGUGAGUAAUGCCUAGGAAUCUGCCUGGUAGUGGGGGACAACGUUUCGAAAGGAACGCUAAUACCGCAUACGUCCUACGGGAGAAAGCAGGGGACCUUCGGGCCUUGCGCUAUCAGAUGAGCCUAGGUCGGAUUAGCUUGUUGGUGAGGUAAUGGCUCUCCAACGCGACGCUCCGUAACUGGUGUGAGCGGAUGAUCAGUCCCUCGUUUUCCGGGACACGGUCCAGACUCCUACGGCAGACUGCAAUGGCCGUCUUUUUCCAGGAUACAUCUCUGUCCCUGACUCCGGAUUCCUCUGUCCGUCGUGUGUUACAAUGUCAACACGAGUAUGACCAUUGAUUACCGGAUUCAA
rnacentral:rRNA from 1 species